CCUACGGGAGGCAGCAGUGGGGAAUAUUGCACAAUGGGCGCAAGCCUGAUGCAGCAACGCCGCGUGAGGGACGACGGCCUUCGGGUUGUAAACCUCUUUUAGUAGGGAAGAAGCGAAAGUGACGGUACCUGCAGAAAAAGCACCGGCUAACUACGUGCCAGCAGCCGCGGUAAUACGUAGGGUGCAAGCGUUAUCCGGAAUUAUUGGGCGUAAAGAGCUCGUAGGCGGUUUGUCGCGUCUGCUGUGAAAACUGGAGGCUCAACCUCCAGCCUGCAGUGGGUACGGGCAAACUAGAGUGCGGUAGGGGAGAUUGGAAUUCCUGGUGUAGCGGUGGAAUGCGCAGAUAUCAGGAGGAACACCGAUGGCGAAGGCAGAUCUCUGGGCCGUAACUGACGCUGAGGAGCGAAAGCAUGGGGAGCGAACAGGAUUAGAUACCCUGGUAGUCCAUGCCGUAAACGUUGGGCGCUAGAUGUGGGGACCCAUUCCACGGUUUCCGUGUCGCAGCUAACGCAUUAAGCGCCCCGCCUUGGGGAGUCGGCCGCAAGGCUAAAACNCAAGAUUGACGNNGNGNGNGCGAGCGACGACGAGGAGAG
rnacentral:rRNA from 1 species